rnacentral:rRNA from 1 species
CCUACGGGAGGCAGCAGUGAGGAAUUUUCCGCAAUGGGCGAAAGCCUGACGGAGCAAUACCGCGUGAGGGAUGAAGGAUUUUGGUCUGUAAACCUCUUUUCUCAAGAAAGAAGUUCUGACGGUACUUGAGGAAUAAGCAUCGGCUAACUCCGUGCCAGCAGCCGCGGUAAUACGGGGGAUGCAAGCGUUAUCCGGAAUGAUUGGGCGUAAAGCGCCUGUAGGUUGUUUAUUAAGUCCGUUGUUAAAGCCUAGGGCUCAACCCUAGAAAAGCAAUGGAAACUAGUAGACUAGAGUAUGGCAGGGGUAGAGGGAAUUUCUAGUGUAGCGGUGAAAUGCGUAGAUAUUAGAAAGAACACCGGUGGCGAAAGCGCUCUACUGGACCAUUACUGACACUCAGAGGCGAAAGCUAGGGUAGCAAAAGGGAUUAGAUACCCCUGUAGUCCUAGCCGUAAACGAUGGAUACUAGAUGUUGUGCAUUAUGUACAGUAUCGUAGCUAACGCGUUAAGUAUCCGCCUGGGGAGUACGCUCGCAGGGUGAAACUCAAAUGAAUUGACGGCUGAAGAGUGCGAGACGACGACGAGGGAGGAGG